UGUGGCCAUGCGGAUUCUUUCCAGUAGCUGUGUUAUAAGAACACAUAUCUUUAUAUUCCCAGAGAUCCCAUUGAACACUGAAUGUAUGCAAUGUCAACUCCUCUGGAGGCUAGUGGUGCACUCAUCCUCAUGGACUUGAACUAGGAUUUCAGAAUCCUGACAAUUACAAAGUUGACUUUGAAUUCCUAGAAAUAUGAAGUGGAUCACUUACAAUGUUGGCAUCAUUGCUAUUCAGUGAAUACUGAUAACCUGUAAGAAGGAUCUAUGUGUUUUAAGAUUCAGGAAGAUGUCACUGAAACCCAAGGCACAUGACACUGGGUUAUCUGGAAGCUGGUGGAUCAUCACAAUAGCG